UACAGAGGUCUCAAGCGUUGUUCGGAAUCACUGGGCGUAAAGGGUGCGUAGGCCGCACGGUAAGUCAGAUGUGAAAUCUCAGGGCUCAACUCUGAAAUUGCAUCCGAUACUGCCGUGCUUGAGGACUGGAGAGGAGUCUGGAAUUCAUGGUGGAGCAGUGAAAUGCGUAGAUAUCGUAAGGAAGACCAGUGGCGAAGGCGAGUCUCUGGACAGUUACUGACGCUGAGGCACGAAGGCCAGGGGAGCAAACGGG
rnacentral:rRNA from 1 species